rnacentral:rRNA from 1 species
UACGUAGGGUGCAAGCGUUGUCCGGAAUUAUUGGGCGUAAAGGGCUCGUAGGCGGUUUGUCGCGUCUGCUGUGAAAACUGGAGGCUCAACCUCCAGCCUGCAGUGGGGUACGGGGCAGACUAGAGUGCGGUAGGGGGAGAUUGGAAUUCCUGGUGUAGCGGUGGAAUGCGCAGAUAUCAGGAGGAACACCGAUGGCGAAGGCAGAUCUCUGGG